GUGCUCUCUUCAGCAGCACAUAUACUAAAGUUGGAAUGAUACAGAGAAGAUUAGCAUGGCCCCUGUACAAGGAAAGAAAAAGAAAAAAAAAGAUGAGACUUAA